AACGAUGAAGGCCUUCGGGUCGUAAAGUUCUGUUGUAAGGGAAGAACAAGUGCCGCAGGCAAUGGCGGCACCUUGACGGUACCUUGCGAGAAAGCCACGGCUAACUACGUGCCAGCAGCCGCGGUAAUACGUAGGUGGCAAGCGUUGUCCGGAAUUAUUGGGCGUAAAGCGCGCGCAGGCGGCCUCUUAAGUCUGAUGUGAAAGACCCCGGCUCAACCGGGGAGGGCCAUUGGAAACUGGGAGGCUUGAGUAUAGGAGAGAAGAGUGGAAUUCCACGUGUAGCGGUGAAAAUGCGUAGAGAUGUGGAGGAACACCAGUGGCGAAGGCGACUCUUUGGCCUAUAACUGACGCUGAGGCGCGAAAGCGUGGGGAGCAAACAGGAUUAGAUACCCUGGUAG
rnacentral:rRNA from 1 species